GCAAAGUAUCAUUCCUUAUAUGAGUAGUACCUUAAAAGAAGUGACAACGCAGUCGCCAUGUGAAAAAGGCUCGACAACUAAAUGAUGAAGUUACUUGAUGGGCCAAAAAGAAUCUGUAUAUGUGCUCUAUUUGUGUUCAUACUUUAGAACAUUUGGGGCCAUGGUUUCAGCAAAUCAGUAUUUGGCCCUAAGACAGGUAUACUGUGUGACCAGCUGCCAGGUACCUCAAGUCUCUCAAGGUUGAAGUGCAGAAAAUUGGAGUUGGAAACCUGCAAAAUUAAGCUUGAAUCUUUGUUGCGGUAACAAUGAUUGAACCUCCUAGUUUUACCAUUAGUAUAAGUUCAUCCUCUCUCUCUCUCUCUCUCUCUCUGAGUAGGUUGGCUGUACAAAAUGUGAUGAUGCUGGUCUUUCAAAUGCGCACAUGAUUAUGGCAGAGAUUCCAAAAGCUUCAGAAGCGGUGGUAUAGGUGCGUGACUUGG